AUACGUAGGGGGCGAGCGUUGUCCGGAAUGAUUGGGCGUAAAGGGCGCGUAGGCGGCCCGGUAAGUCUGGAGUGAAAGUCCUGUUUUUAAGAUGGGAAUUGCUUUGGAUACUGUCGGGCUUGAGUGCAGGAGAGGUAAGUGGAAUUCCCAGUGUAGCGGUGAAAUGCGUAGAGAUUGGGAGGAACACCAGUGGCGAAGGCGACUUACUGGACUGUAACUGACGCUGAGGCGCGAAAGUGUGGGGAGCAAACAGGAUUAGAUACCCUGGUAGUCCACACUGUAAACGAUGAAUGCUAGGUGUAAGAGGUAUCGACCCCUUUUGUGCCGGAGUCAACACAAUAAGCAUUCCGCCUGGGGAGUACGGCCGCAAGGUUGAAACUCAAAGGAAUUGACGGGG
rnacentral:rRNA from 1 species